AAAAAUUAUAUAGUUCAAAGUAUUAAAUAAAUUUUUUUACGAUUAGACAACGAAAGAAUAGAUUUUAGGACGUAACAAACCAUGGUUAUAGGUAACUCUAAAUACGCGAAAAUAAGAGAAAUCACGAAGAUUGUGUUAGGACAUAGAGAAGAUUCAACAAGACGAUAUUCGUUAUAAAGAAGAAGAAUAGAGGAAAGAUUGUUUAUAAAAAUCCAAGAUAUCCUUUUUGAACGAAUGAUCAAGAUCCAUCGAUAAUCGAAUAGACGUUUUGAUUUUUUUUGUUUCUUUACAAUGUCACGUCAUGUUAGAGAUUUAAGCGAGCGGACAAGGCAACGGAGGCGCCAAAACGUCUGUGCCGGAUUUGAGAGUGCGCACGUGCCGCCGGAAAGUGGGUUAAUUUCUUGCUCGCACGAGCUUUAAGAAUGACGACAAGAAUACUAUAUCCUUUAUUACCUCGAUGAUUCUUCUCUUUGUUCCUUCGGGAACGAGCGAACGAACGAAGCAAUUCGGAAGAAUCCUCGAGUGCGUCGCAUCAUCUCUUAUUUCUGCGGACAUUAACCUUGUUCAUUCUCUUAUUCUCUCUUUCUCUCUUUUUCUUCUCUUUUCUCUCUUAUUAGACAUACAACGAGUUGGUAAAAGACAAUUCAUUGUGACCCUGCCAACAAGAACAAAUUCUCUAUCAUGUGAGUUCAUCAAGCUUGUUUGAUAUUUCUGUUUUUUUAGGUUGAAGUGUCAAAAAGGAAAAUUGAUGUAUUAUUAAAAUAACGAGCACGAUUUAAGGAUUGACUGUUGAGAUACAGGCACAGACAUUCUUUUAAGUAUAGUGAUGUCAUCUUUUGAUGUCCGUCUUACUGAAUGAACUCAUUUUAUGAAUCAAAUGAACAUUCUUUGGAAAAUCUGUAUGGAAGAAAGCAGAAGAUUCACAAAGUGAGAGAAAGAGAGAGAGAGAGAGAGAGAGAGAGAGAGAGAAGAGAGAGAGAGAGAGAGAGAGAGAGAGAGAUAGAGAGGAAAGCAGGUGGUUGAGAAAGACCGGCACUGAGAAUCAAUUUAAAAAUGCUGGAUCGUCGCGUGCGUUACUGAUUCUUAUACGACGGCACCAGCAGACUCGCGUGACGUGACUGACGCGCGCUCGUCUCUUUCUCACACACAAAUACACAAGUACACACGCACACGAGAAUAAUGACGCGAUUCCUUCGAAUGAAGAAGGGCGUACCCGUGACAGUGCGACGAUUCUUAUCGUUGAAUUUGAAGGAACUUCUUCUCGUAGAGGAAAACAGUUCGACGAGUUAUCCUUCGAAGAAAUAGACGUACUUGUCGUGACAGUAAAACAAAUAUCCUUCCUUUCGUUGAUAUCUUCGAGACAAGUGUGCCCGAAGCCGGCUCCACGAUGCACAUGUACGCAUACGGGGUGGCAUGCGUCGAGUAAUAUACUUUUCUGUCGCGAAAUACGGUGCCGGCGAACGCGUCCGGGAGUAGAAGAGCCGCCUAGAUGCGUGCUAUUUGUAAGACGAACGUCGGACGAAAAGGGCGAAGGACGUAAGCGGUUCCCAGAUAGAAAGAGA